rnacentral:misc_RNA from 1 species
GAAUCUUGUUCAGUCAACUACAGUUGUGAAUGCAGGGUCAGGUGGACUUAUUAGCCCAUACUCUGGAGGGGCUAGGAGGGUGUAUGUUGGCAACAGAAGAUCAACUUCGCCAGGUUUUUGAACCAUUUGGAACUGUGGAGUUGGUGCAAUUGCCUCUUGAUGAAACUGGGCACUGCAAAGGCUUUGGUUUUGUUCAGUUUGCACGCCUUGAAGAUGCUAGAAAUGCCUUAAAUUUGAAUGGACAAGUGGAAAUUGCAGGUCGGCCAAUCAAGGUGUCAACUGUUACUGACCAAACCGGAAUGCAAGAAGGUGGGACAAAUACUGGUGAUUUUGAUGAUGAUGAAGGUGGUGGCUUGGCAUUAAAUGCUCGUUCUCGAGCUCUUCUGAUGCAGAAGUUGGAUCGUAGUGGCACUGCCUCAAGCAUUGCUGGUUCACUGGGAACCCCUGUUGCCACUACUGGCCUUACUGUACCAGCGGCACCAAUCCUUGGUGCUGCACCUUUGGUAUCUCCUGUUGUUGCUCCUCUUAUGUCAGGUUCUGUUCCUGGUCUACCUGGACUCGCAGGUGCAGGUGUUCAACUUCCGGCUACUGCAAUUCCUACUGUGGAUACAAUUGGCAUCCCAAGUGAAUGUUUAUUGUUGAAGAAUAUGUUUGAUCCAAAUGUAGAGACGGAACCAGACUUUGAUUUGGAU